CGAAAUUAAAUAAAUAAAUAAAUAGUACGAAAGAGAAAGAGUUAAAUUUGAGUUAGUUGGGACCUUAAAUUGUUCGGCGCGGACGAGGUUAUCGGCGGUUACGGAGAGGGAGGUAUCGAGGGAUUCAAGCUGAGACUGAAGUUCUUCGAUGAGUCUAUCUUUCUUGGCGAUCUUGGCGCGAAGUUCCGACGACUCUAAUUCAAGGGCGUUUACACGUGUCAUUAAAGCAAUUGAGGUGAUCUUGCGUGCUAAAUCGAGUUGCUCGAACGGAUCUGACGGUAGCACUUGGAUGACAUCUUCGGGAAGACCGAACUUCGACCCACCCGAUUCCGCCGUCAUCGUCUGAUCUUUGUUUUCCUCCUCUUUCUUUUUUUUUUUUUUACGGUUUAUUUUAUUUAAAAAAUAACUAUUUCACAUUAUUUUCGUUUUUUUUUUUGUACAAGUUGAUUAUGAUUUUGGAGACAUCUCGAUUGAGCUUUCUGACGGUGUUGGAAAGUGAAGCAUUCUCCUUAAGCAAGCUCUCCUAUAGUAUCAAGCUCAAGCACCGAAAUUAAAUAAAUAAAUAAAUAGUACGAAAGAGAAAGAGUUAAAUUUGAGUUAGUUGGGACCUUAAAUUGUUCGGCGCGGACGAGGUUAUCGGCGGUUACGGAGAGGGAGGUAUCGAGGGAUUCAAGCUGAGACUGAAGUUCUUCGAUGAGUCUAUCUUUCUUGGCGAUCUUGGCGCGAAGUUCCGACGACUCUAAUUCAAGGGCGUUU
rnacentral:lncRNA from 1 species